GCCAGGUGCAGUGGUGCACACCUGUAAUCCCAGUGACUGGGAGAUGAGGCAGGAGGAUCACGAGUUUAAGGCCAGCCUCAGCAAUGUAUUGAGGCCCUAAGCAACUUAGCAAGACCCUGUCUCAA
rnacentral:sRNA from 1 species